ACUCCUACGGGAGGCAGCAGUGGGGAAUAUUGCGCAAUGGAGGGAACUCUGACGCAGCGACGCCGCGUGAGCGAUGAAGGUCUUCGGAUCGUAAAGCUCUGUCCUCAGGGAAGAAGGUCUUUUGACUUGACGGUACCUGUGGAGGAAGCCCCGGCUAACUACGUGCCAGCAGCCGCGGUAAU
rnacentral:rRNA from 1 species